GAUGAACGCUGGCGGCGUGCCUAAUACAUGCAAGUCGAGCGAACAGACGAGGAGCUUGCUCCUCUGACGUUAGCGGCGGACGGGUGAGUAACACGUGGAUAACCUACCUAUAAGACUGGGAUAACUUCGGGAAACCGGGGCUAAUACCGGAUAAUAUAUUGAACCGCAUGGUUCAAUAGUGAAAGACGGUUUUGCUGUCACUUAUAGAUGGAUCCGCGCCGCAUUAGCUAGUUGGUAAGGUAACGGCUUACCAAGGCAACGAUGCGUAGCCGACCUGAGAGGGGGAUCGGCCACACUGGAACUGAGACACGGUCCAGACUCCUACGGGAGGCAGCAGUAGGGAAUCUUCCGCAAUGGGCGAAAGCCUGACGGAGCAACGCCGCGUGAGUGAUGAAGGUCUUCGGAUCGUAAAACUCUGUUAUUAGGGAAGAACAAAUGUGUAAGUAACUAUGCACGUCUUGACGGUACCUAAUCAGAAAGCCACGGCUAACUACGUG
rnacentral:rRNA from 1 species